rnacentral:lncRNA from 1 species
CGACACUUAGCUGGUACUUACCAUCAACACACGUCACGUGUCAGGUCUAUAAGGAUAAUUCAGGGUGGAUCAUGUCAUCAACAACUUGUUUAAGUUUGUAAACUUAUCUUAUUUACUUUGAAUUCCUAUCUUCCAAUGGAGUCUGUUAUUGUAAUUUUCUAAAAUUACAAAUCUGCUCGUGGCUUUUAGUUAGAAAAAAUAUCCCAAU